rnacentral:rRNA from 1 species
AACGAACGCUGGCGGCAUGCCUAACACAUGCAAGUCGAACGAGACCUUCGGGUCUAGUGGCGCACGGGUGCGUAACGCGUGGGAACCUGCCCUUAGGUUCGGAAUAACUCCCCGAAAUGGGUGCUAAUACCGGAUAAUGUCUUCGGACCAAAGAUUUAUCGCCUUUGGAUGGGCCCGCGUUGGAUUAGCUAGUUGGUAGGGUAAAAGCCUACCAAGGCGACGAUCCAUAGCUGGCCUGAGAGGAUGAUCAGCCACACUGGGACUGAGACACGGCCCAGACUACUACGGGAGGCAGCAGUGGGGAAUAUUGGACAAUGGGCGAAAGCCUGAUCCAGCAAUGCCGCGUGAGUGAUGAAGGCCUUAGGGUUGUAAAGCUCUUUUACCCGGGAUGAUAAUGACAGUACCGGGAGAAUAAGCUCCGGCUAACUCCGUG